UACGUAGGAUGCAAGCGUUGUCCGGAUUUAUUGGGCGUAAAGAGCGCGUAGGCGGUGUCUUAAGUUAGGCGUGAAAUCUCCCGGCUCAACUGGGAGGAGCCGUCUAAAACUGGGACGCUUGAGGGCAGCAGAGGAAAGUGGAAUUCCCGGUGUAGUGGUGAAAUGCGUAGAUAUCGGGAGGAACACCAGUGGCGAAGGCGGCUUUCUGGGCUGUUCCUGACGCUGAGGCGCGAAGGCUAGGGGAGCGAACGGG
rnacentral:rRNA from 1 species